AUGGACAUGAGGGACCCUGCUCAGCUCCUGGGGCUCCUGCUACUCUGUUUCCCAGGUGCCAAAUGUGACAUCCAGAUGACCCAGUCUCCAACCUUCCUGUCUGCAUCUGUAGGAGACAGAGUCACCAUCGCUUGCCGGGCGAGUCAAAGCAUUCACAAAGGAUUAGCCUGGUAUCAGCAGAAGCCAGGGAAAGCGCCUAAGCUGCUGAUUUCUUAUGCAUCCAAUUUGUACACUGAUGUGCCAUCGAGGUUCAGUGGCAGUGGAUCUGGGACAGAUUUCACGCCCACCAUCAGUAGCCUGCAGCCUGAAGAUGCUGCAACUUAUUAUUGUUUCCAGUAA